rnacentral:rRNA from 1 species
UACAGAGGUCCCGAGCGUUGUUCGGAUUUACUGGGCGUAAAGGGCGCGUAGGCGGCCACCGCAAGUCAGUUGUGAAAUCUCUGGGACUUAACCCAGAAAGGUCAACUGAUACUGCGGGGCUAGAGUGCAGAAGGGGCAACUGGAAUUCUCGGUGUAGCGGUGAAAUGCGUAGAUAUCGAGAGGAACACCUGCGGCGAAGGCGGGUUGCUGGGCUGACACUGACGCUGAAGCGCGAAAGCUAGGGGAGCGAACGGG